rnacentral:rRNA from 1 species
CGAGUGGCGGACGGGUGAGUAAUGUCUGGGAAACUGCCUGAUGGAGGGGGAUAACUACUGGAAACGGUGGCUAAUACCGCAUAACGUCGCAAGACCAAAGAGGGGGACCUUCGGGCCUCUUGCCAUCAGAUGUGCCCAGAUGGGAUUAGCUUGUUGGUGAGGUAACGGCUCACCAAGGCGACGAUCCCUAGCUGGUCUGAGAGGAUGACCAGCCACACUGGAACUGAGACACGGUCCAGACUCCUACGGGAGGCAGCAGUGGGGAAUAUUGCACAAUGGGCGCAAGCCUGAUGCAGCCAUGCCGCGUGUAUGAAGAAGGCCUUCGGGUUGUAAAGUACUUUCAGCGGGGAGGAAGGUGUUGUGGUUAAUAACCGCAGCAAUUGACGUUACCCGCAGAAGAAGCACCGGCUAACUCCGUGCCAGCAGCCGCGGUAAUACGGAGGGUGCAAGCGUUAAUCGGAAUUACUGGGCGUAAAGCGCACGCAGGCGGUCUGUCAAGUCGGAUGUG